ACACUCCUGCGGGAGGCAGCAGUGGGGAAUAUUGGACAAUGGGCGCAAGCCUGAUCCAGCCAUGCCGCGUGAGUGAUGAAGGCCCUAGGGUUGUAAAGCUCUUUCACCGGUGAAGAUAAUGACGGUAACCGGAGAAGAAGCCCCGGCUAACUUCGUGCCAGCAGCCGCGGUAAUACGAAGGGGGCUAGCGUUGUUCGGAUUUACUGGGCGUAAAGCGCACGUAGGCGGACUAUUAAGUCAGGGGUGAAAUCCCGGGGCUCAACCCCGGAACUGCCUUUGAUACUGGUAGUCUUGAGUUCAAGAGAGGUGAGUGGAAUUCCGAGUGUAGAGGCGAAAUUCGUAGAUAUUCGGAGGAACACCAGUGGCGAAGGCGGCUCACUGGCUCGAUACUGACGCUGAGGUGCGAAAGCGUGGGGAGCAAACAGGAUUAGAUACCCGAGUAGUCCCAUG
rnacentral:rRNA from 1 species